AUGGUCUAUGAGUGCUCAUUGCACAAGGGAGAAACAGCUUUUGAGUAUCUAUCUAUCUGUCAUCUAUCUAUCAUGUGUCUAUCAAUCAUCUAUCUAUCAUCUGUUUAUCUAUCUAUUACAUGUCUAUCUAUCAUCUGUCUAUUAUCUAUCUAUCUAUCUAUCUAUCUAUUACCUGUCUGUCUAUUCUCAUCUAUCUAUUAUCUAUCUAUCAUCAGUCUAUCAUCUAUCAUCUAUCUAUUCUCAUCUAUCUAUCAUCUGUCUAUCAUCUAUCAUCUAUCUAUCAUCUAUCAUCUGUCUAUCAUUUAUCUAUCUAUUACCUGUCUGUCAUCUAUCUAUUCUCAUCUAUCUAUCAUCUGUCUAUCAUCUAUCUAUUACCUGUCUGUCAUCUAUCUAUUCUCAUCUAUCUAUUCUCAUCUAUCUAUCAUCUGUCUAUCAUCUAUCUAUCUAUUACCUGUCUAUCGACUGUCUAUUCUCAUCUAUCUAUCAUCUGUCUAUUAUCUAUCUUUAUUACCUGUUUGUCAUCUAUCUAUUCUCAUCUAUCUAUCAUUUGUCUAUCAUCUAUCUAUCAAUUACCUGUCUAUCUAUCUAUUCUCAUCCAUCUAUCAUCUGUCUGUCUGUCUGUUAUCUGUUUACCAUCUAUCAAUCAUUGAUUAUCAAUUUAUCAUCUGUCUAUCCUAUCAUCUAUCCAUCUAUCUAUUAUUAUCUUUUAUCUAUCAUGUAUCCAUCAUCUGUCUAUCAGUUAUCAUCCGGAAUGAAUUGGAAUGGGAGGGUGGCAUGGCUACGCACUGGCAGAGCCUUUCCAAGGAAGAGAGAGAAAUGCCGGAACAAUGUGAGGCUGAGGAUAUAUUUGGAGGCCGAGCUCACAGUCUGGGCCGGCGGGCGAGUAAGAGGAGGGAGCCGCGUCCAAGUCAUCGGAGGCUCCGGGCCGUUACUCAGCCAAAGCCAUGCGCGGCCCCACCCAGGCCCGGCUUCGUUCACACGCAGAGCAUUUAUCAGUCUGUCCUGAGAGUGCUUUCGGUAUCCAACCCGCCCUCCUAA
rnacentral:lncRNA from 1 species